UCUCUUAAAGUAAUUCUUUUACACUUAAUUUCGACUUAAACUUUUGAUUUUCUAAUCUAAGAGAA
rnacentral:tRNA from 1 species